UUUUCUUCCCGCGAAAGCCCGUUCGAUAAUAGAAACAAAAAAUGGCAAUACAUAAUAGCCACCGAAUUUAUAUUAUUUAAACGCAGGCAGCCCGGUACAAUAUAAUAUAAUAAGUUUUUAAAAUAUUUCGAUAGUUUUAAAGUAAAGCUAAGUUCGGAAUAUUUAAUUUAGGCACGCCUAGCUAUAUUGUGCGCGCUGCCUAUAUAUGAUUUGAAUUACGACAUAAUUAAUCGUUUUAUUUGCAAAUGUCUAAUCUUGUUUCAUGCAUGAACUAUGAGUUGAUGUUUUGGAAUUGUUCUGCAACAGCG